GAUGAACGCUAGCGGGAGGCCUAACACAUGCAAGCCGAGCGGUAGAGUUUCUUCGGAAACUUGAGAGCGGCGCACGGGUGCGUAACACGUGUGCAACCUACCUUUAUCUGGGGGAUAGCCUUUCGAAAGGAAGAUUAAUACCCCAUAAUAUAAUGAUUGGCAUCAAUUAUUAUUGAAAACUCCGGUGGAUAGAGAUGGGCACGCGCAAGAUUAGAUAGUUGGUGAGGUAACGGCUCACCAAGUCAAUGAUCUUUAGGGGUCCUGAGAGGGAGAUCCCCCACACUGGUACUGAGACACGGACCAGACUCCUACGGGAGGCAGCAGUGAGGAAUAUUGGACAAUGGGUGAGAGCCUGAUCCAGCCAUCCCGCGUGAAGGAUGACGGUCCUAUGGAUUGUAAACUUCUUUUGUACAGGGAAAAACCUACCCUCGUGAGGGUAGCUGAAGGUACUGUACGAAUAAGCACCGGCUAACUCCGUG
rnacentral:rRNA from 1 species